rnacentral:tRNA from 1 species
GGGCCGGUAGCUCAGCUUGGUAGAGCAUCUGGGAAAAAAGGGAAAGAUCAUAGUCAUCCCAAAUUCGGUGAAACUUUUACCAAACGAGGAAGAAAUCAGGUGGUCGUGGGUUCAAAUCCCAUCCGGCCCG